ACCUGAAACCGUGUGCCUACAAACCGUCGGAGCAGACUUUUCUGUGACGGCGUGCCUUUUGAAGAAUGAGCCUGCGAGUUAGUGUCAUGUCGCGAGGUUAACCCGUGUGGGGAAGCCGUAGCGAAAGCGAGUCUGAAGAGGGCGUUCAGAGUGGCGUGAUCUAGACCCGAAGCGAAGUGAUCUACCCAUGGCCAGGUUGAAGCGCGUGUAAGAGCGCGUGGAGGACCGAACCCACUUCAGUUGAAAAUGGAGGGGAUGAGCUGUGGGUAGGGGUGAAAGGCCAAUCAAACUCCGUGAUAGCUGGUUCUCCCCGAAAUGCAUUUAGGUGCAGCGUCACGUGUUUCUUACCGGAGGUAGAGCUACUGGAUAGCCGAUGGGCCUCACCAGGUUACUGACGUUAGCCAAACUCCGAAUGCCGG
rnacentral:rRNA from 1 species